rnacentral:lncRNA from 1 species
CAGAACACAUGAAUUACUAAAAUAGACAAGAUUCAAAGACAAUUGCAGAAUUACAAAAAAUAAUAUGCACAAAUGAACUACUUACGAGAUACGAAUCUCAAUAGCCACAAGUGUGAAAUAAAUAUCACUCCAAACCCUAACACGAGAACAAUUUAUAGAAGCCUCUAUUGGUUCACGUUCAGACCAGAAAAACCGCCUUCCUCCACCGCUAACUCCUCGACCUUUCUCCAGGUUGUGGCAUAAAUGGAGAGAUAAUAGAGGGGCGGCGCCGACAGUGAGAUAGAAAAUCGAGGGGAGGGGCGGGGGCGGUGG